CAUUUUUAGCUCACCUGGCCCGAAGGGCCAAGUGAGCUUUUCUCAUCACUUGGCGUCCGUCGUCCGGCGUCGUCCGUCGUCGGCGUAAACUUUUUACAUUUUGAACUUCUUCUAGAGAACCACUGAAUGGAAUGAAACCAAACAUGGCAUGAAUGUUCCUUAUGAGGUGCUGACCAAGUGUUGUUACUUUGUAGCGGAUCCAUCAUCCAAGAUGGCCGCCAGCGGGGGACUUAGUUUAACAUAGGACCCUAUGGGAAAUACAUACAAAUGUCUUCUUUUAGUGAACCACUGAAUGGAAUGAAACCAAACAUGACAUGAAUGUUUCUUAUGAGGUGCUGACCGAGUGUUGUUACUUUGAAGCCGAUCCAUAAUCCAAGAUGGCCGCCAGCGGGGGACUUAGUUUAACAUAGGACCCUAUGGGAAAUACAUACAAAUGUUUUCUUUUAGAGAACCACUGAAUGGAAUGAAACCAAACAUGGUAUGAAUGUUCCUUAUGAGAUGCUGACCGAGUGUUGUUACUUUGAAGCCGAUCCAUAAUCCAAGAUGGCCGCCAGCGGGGGACUUAGUUUGACAUAGGACCCUAUGGGAAAUACAUACAAAUGUCUUCUUUUAGAGAACCACUGAAUGGAAUGAAACCAAACAUAGUAUGAAUGUUCCUUAUGAGGUGCUGACCGAGUGUUGUUACUUUGAAGCCGAUCCAUAAUCCAAGAUGGCUGCCAGCGGGGGACUUAGUUUAACAUUGGACCCUACGAGAAAUACAUACAAAUGUCUUCUUUUAGAGAACCACUAAAUGGAAUGAAACCAAACAUGGCAUGAAUGUUCCUUAUGAGGUGCUGACCAAGUGUUGUUACUAUGAAGCUGAUCCAUAAUCCAAGAUGGCCGCCAGCAGGGGACUUAGUUUAACAUUGGACCCUAAGGGAAAUACAUACAAAUGUCUUCUUUUAGAGAACCACUAAAUGGAAUGAAACCAAAUAUGGCAUGAAUGUUUCUUAUGAGGUGCUGACCGAGUGUUGUUACUUUGAAGCCGAUCCAUAAUCCAAGAUGGCCGCCAGCGGGGACUUUGUUUAACAUUGGACCCUAUGGGAAAUACAUACAAACGUCUUCUUUUAGAGAACCACCGAAUGGAAUGAAACCAAACAUGGCAAGAAUGUUCCUUAUGAGGUGCUGACCAAAUGUUGUUACUUUGAAGCUGAUCCAUCAUCCAAGAUGGCCGCCAGCGGGGGACUUAGUUUAACAUAGGACCCUAUGGGAAAUACAUACAAAUGUCUUCUUUUAGAGAACCACUGAAUGCAAUGAAACCAAACAUGGCAUGAAUGUUCCUUAUGAGGUGCUGACCAAGUGUUGUUACUAUGAUGCCGAUCCAUAAUCUAAGAUGGCCGCCAGUGGAGGACUUAGUUUAACGUAGGACCCUAUGAGAAAUAUGUACAAAUGUUUUCUUUUAGAGAACCAUUGAAUGGAAUGAAACCAAACAUGGCAUGCAUGUUUCUUUUGAGGUGCUGACCAAGUGUUGUUACUUUGAAGCUGAUCCUUCAUCCAUGAUGGCUGCCAGAUGGGGACAAUGUUUAACAAAGGACCCUAUGGACAAUACAUACAAAUGUCUUCUUUUAGAAAACCACAUACUGAAUGGAUUGAAACCAAACAUGGCAUGAAUGUUCCUUAUGAGGUGCUGACCAAGUGUUGUUACUUUGUAGCCGAUCCAUCAUCCAAAAUGGCCACCAGCGGGGGACUUCGUUUAGCAUAGGACCCUUUGGACAAUACAUACAAAUGUCUUCUUUUAGAGAACCACUGAAUGGAAUGAAUCCAAACAUGGCAUGAAUGUUCCUUAUGAAUU